rnacentral:sRNA from 1 species
UGUUCCGAUGACCACUACAAGUAAUUCUUUUAAUCAACAGAGGAGAAUCAGGAAAAACAAACCUGUUGACUAGAAUUUGGAAGA